rnacentral:rRNA from 1 species
CUCAAAGGAAUUGACGGGGACCCGCACAAGCGGUGGAUGAUGUGGUUUAAUUCGACGCAACGCGAAAAACCUUACCUACCCUUGACAUGUCUGGAAUCCUGAAGAGAUUUGGGAGUGCUCGAAAGAGAACCAGAACACAGGUGCUGCAUGGCCGUCGUCAGCUCGUGUCGUGAGAUGUUGGGUUAAGUCCCGCAACGAGCGCAACCCUUGUCAUUAGUUGCUACGUAAGGGCACUCUAAUGAGACUGCCGGUGACAAACCGGAGGAAGGUGGGGAUGACGUCAGGUCAUCAUGGCCCUUAUGGGUAGGGCUACACACGUCAUACAAUGGCCGGUACAGAGGGCUGCCAACCCGCGAGGGGGAGCUAAUCCCAGAAAACCGGUCGUAGUCCGGAUCGCAGUCUGCAACUCGACUGCGUGAAGUCGGAAUCGCUAGUAAUCGCGGAUCAGCUUGCCGCGGUGAAUACGUUCCCGGGUCUUGUACACACCGCCCGUCACACCA